rnacentral:rRNA from 1 species
UACGGAGGGGGCUAGCGUUGUUCGGAAUUACUGGGCGUAAAGCGCGCGUAGGCGGACUUUUAAGUCAGGGGUGAAAUCCCGGGGCUCAACCCCGGAACUGCCUUUGAUACUGGAAGUCUUGAGUAUGGUAGAGGUGAGUGGAAUUCCGAGUGUAGAGGUGAAAUUCGUAGAUAUUCGGAGGAACACCAGUGGCGAAGGCGGCUCACUGGACCAUUACUGACGCUGAGGUGCGAAAGCGUGGGGAGCAAACAGG